GACGAACGCUGGCGGCAUGCUUAACACAUGCAAGUCGAACGGAAAGGCCCUGCUUAUGUGCGGUGCUCGACGGGCGAACGGGUGAGUAACACGUGAGUAACCUACCCUUGACUUUGGGAUAACUUCAGGACACUUGGGCUAAUACCGGAUAGGAUCUCCUGCUGCAUGGUGGGGGUUGGAAAGUUUCGGCGGUUGGUGAUGGACUCGCGGCUUAUCAGCUUGUUGGUGGGGUAGUGGCUUACCAAGGCUUGGACCCGUAGCCGGGCUGGUCGGGGGAGCGGACACAUCGGGACUGGAAUACGGCACAGACCAGUAUGGGAGGGAGGAGUGGGGAAUGGUGUACAAUGGGAGGAAGCCUGAUGUAGUAACGCCGCGUGCGGGAUGACGGCAUUCGGGUAGUAUUCCGAAUUCGCUUGUGCCGAAGCGUGAGUGACGGUACUGGGUGAAGAAGCACCGGCUAACUCCGUG
rnacentral:rRNA from 1 species